AGCGAACGCUGGCGGUAGGCUUAACACAUGCAAGUCGAACGGCAGCACAGUAAGAGCUUGCUCUUACGGGUGGCGAGUGGCGGACGGGUGAGGAAUACAUCGGAAUCUACUUUUUCGUGGGGGAUAACGUAGGGAAACUUACGCUAAUACCGCAUACGACCUACGGGUGAAAGCAGGGGAUCUUCGGACCUUGCGCGAUUGAAUGAGCCGAUGUCGGAUUAGCUAGUUGGCGGGGUAAAGGCCCACCAAGGCGACGAUCCGUAGCUGGUCGGAGAGGAUGGUCGGCCACACUGGAACUGAGACACGGUCCAGACUCCUACGGGAGGCAGCAGUGGGGAAGAUUGGACAAUGGGCGCAAGCCUGAUCCAGCCAUACCGCGUGGGUGAAGAAGGCCUUCGGGUUGUAAAGCCCUUUUGUUGGGAAAGAAAAGCAGCAGGUUAAUACCCCGCUGUUCUGACGGUACCCAAAGAAUAAGCACCGGCUAACUUCGUG
rnacentral:rRNA from 1 species